CGUAAUGAAAGUGAAGGGCGGUUCGGCCGUCUGCCUUGGGAUCCCGUGAACCUCGCGUUCGCGGGCGCACCAAGGGCCCGUCCCGGUCGCCUCGUCGACGGGGCGGAGCAAGAGCGUACACGUUGGGACCCGAAAGAUGGUGAACUAUGCCUGGGCAGGACGAAGCCAGAGGAAACUCUGGUGGAGGUCCGCAGCGAUUCUGACGUGCAAAUCGAUCGUCAGACCUGGGUAGGGGCGAAAGACUAAUCGAACCAUCUAGUAGCUGGUUCCCUCCGAAGUUUCCCUCAGGAUAGCUGGCGCUCGGAGGAUGCAGUCUCAUCCGGUAAAGCGAAUGAUUAGAGGCCUUGGGGUCGAAAAGACCUCAACCUAUUCUCAAACUUUAAAUGGGUGAGAAGUCCGGUUUGCUCGACUGAAGCCCGGACGGCAACUUGGAUGCGAGUGCCAAGUGGGCCACUUUUGGUAAGCAGAACUGGCGCUGUGGGAUGAACCAAACGCCGGGUUAAGGGGCCCGAUGCGAGACGCUCAUGAGAUCCCAUGAAAGGUGUUGGUUGCUAUAGACAGCAGGACGGUGGCCAUGGAAGUCGGAAUCCGCUAAGGAGUGUGUAACAACUCACCUGCCGAAGCAACUAGCCCUGAAAAUGGAUGGCGCUUCAGCGUCGACCCCAUACCCGGCCGCCGCGGCCGAAAAGCCUCGUGUUUUAAGCCGCGGUGAGUAGGAGGGGCGCGGAGGCGAGCGUCGAAGGUGCCGGGCGUAAGCCCGCCUGGAGCCGCCUCCGGCGCAGAUCUUGGUGGUAGUAGCAAAUACUCAAGUGAGAACCUUGAGGACUGAGGUGGAGAAGGGUUCCAUGUGAACAGCAGUUGAACAUGGGUCAGUCGGUCCUAAGGGAUAGGAGAAAUCCGUUCCGAGGCGGGACCUCUAUCAAUUAUUGAAAGUCCCGCUGAUGACCGAAAGGGAAUCGGGUUAAUAUUCCCGAACCCGGACGCGGAGAUCGUCCUCUUCGGAGGUACAUUGCGGUAACGCAAACGAGCUCGGAGACGUCGACGGGAGCACCGGGAAGAGUUAUCUUUUCUUUGUAAGGAUUCGACUCCCUGGAAUCGGCUCGCCCGGAGAUAGGGAUGGUGUUUCCGUAAAGCACCGCGCCUCUUGCGGUGUCCGGAUCGCUCCCGUCGGCCCUUGAAAAUCCGAGUGAGAGAUAGUGAUUUUCGUGCCGGACCGUACCCAUAUCCGCAGC
rnacentral:rRNA from 1 species